rnacentral:lncRNA from 1 species
GUUUUUAUUUGUUGUGCUUUGACUUGAGCUACACAGGAUUCAGUGCCCCAUUUUUUUCUGAAUGGCCAGAUCCUUGAACCAUUCAUGGUCCCAUCUAUCAGGACAAUCUCGUGAGAGUCAUCAUCUUGAACCUGAUUUGUUAUUUUCUAAAGCUAGAAGAAAAAGAUUAAUUUAGGACUAGAAAAGAAAAACUGAACUUCGCUCACUCCUCCUCCAAUAACUAGCUUUAUGUUGGCAGGCUUAUCUGUUCCUUUCUGUCAGCUCCAGUUAAUUCAGACAUAAAACAGGUAUGGUAAUGUGAUUGUUUUGA